CCUACGGGUGGCAGCAGUGGGGAAUAUUGCGCAAUGGGCGAAAGCCUGACGCAGCGACGCCGCGUGAGGGAUGAAGGUCUUCGGAUCGUAAACCUCUGUCAGCAGGGAAGAACGGUCACUGUGCUAAUCAGCAGUGAAUUGACGGUACCUGCAAAGGAAGCACCGGCUAACUCCGUGCCAGCAGCCGCGGUAAUACGGAGGGUGCGAGCGUUAAUCGGAAUUACUGGGCGUAAAGCGCUCGUAGGCGGUAUGUCAAGUCAAGGGUGAAAUCCCCGCGCUCAACGUGGGAACUGCCUUUGAAACUGGCAGACUGGAGUGUGUGAGAGGAGAGUAGAAUUCCAGGUGUAGGAGUGAAAUCCGUAGAGAUCUGGAGGAACAUCAGUGGCGAAGGCGACUAUCUGGCACAUAACUGACGCUGAGGAGCGAAAGCGUGGGUAGCAAACAGGAUUAGAUACCCGGGUAGUC
rnacentral:rRNA from 1 species